UGCAAGUCGCACGAGAAAGUGGAGCAAUCCAUGAGUAAAGUGGCGUACGGGUGAGUAACACGUGGAUCAUCUACCUCUUGGUGGGGAAUAACCCUGGGAAACCGGGGCUAAUACCGCAUAAGCCUGCGAAGGGAAAGCAGCAAUGCGCCGAGAGAGGAGUCCGCGGCCGAUUAGCUAGUUGGCGGGGUAACGGCCCACCAAGGCGAAGAUCGGUAGCCGGCCUGAGAGGGCACACGGCCACACUGGCACUGAAACACGGGCCAGACUCCUACGGGAGGCAGCAGUGGGGAAUCUUGUACAAUGGAGGAAACUCUGAUGCAGCGACGCCGCGUGAGCGAUGAAGCCCCUCGGGGUGUAAAGCUCUUUCGACGGGAAAGAUAAUGACGGUACCCGAAGAAGAAGCUGCGGCUAACUACGUGCCAGCAGCCGCGGUAAUACGUAGGCAGCAAGCGUUGUUCGGAAUUACUGGGCGUAAAGAGUGUGUAGGCGGUGUUCUAAGUCUGUUGUGAAAUCUCCCGGCUUAACUGGGAGGGUGCGGCGGAGACUGGAAUGCUAGAGUGUGGGAGAGGUAAGCGGAAUUCCUGGUGUAGCGGUGAAAUGCGUAGAUAUCAGGAGGAACACCUGUGGUGUAGACAGCUUACUGGACCACGACUGACGCUGAGACACGAAAGCGUGGGUAGCAAACAGGAUUAGAUACCCUGGUAGUCCACGCCCUAAACGAUGCAUACUUGGUGUGAGCCAUUCAUUUGGUUCGUGCCGGAGCUAACGCGUUAAGUAUGCCGCCUGGGGAGUACGGUCGCAAGGCUG
rnacentral:rRNA from 1 species